rnacentral:rRNA from 1 species
GACGAACGCUGGCGGCGUGCUUAACACAUGCAAGUCGAACGGAAAGGCCCCCAUCUUGGUGGGGGUGCUCGAGUGGCGAACGGGUGAGUAACACGUGGGUGAUCUGCCCUGUACUUCGGGAUAAGCUUGGGAAACUGGGUCUAAUACCGGAUAGGACCAUGGUUUAGUGUCUCAUGGUGGAAAGAUUAUUGUUUUGGUGCAGGAUGAGCUCGCGGCCUAUCAGCUUGUUGGUGGGGUAAUGGCCUACCAAGGCGUCGACGGGUAGCCGGCCUGAGAGGGUGGACGGCCACAUUGGGACUGAGAUACGGCCCAGACUCCUACGGGAGGCAGCAGUGGGGAAUAUUGCACAAUGGGCGCAAGCCUGAUGCAGCGACGCCGCGUGGGGGAUGACGGCCUUCGGGUUGUAAACUCCUUUCGUUAGGGACGAAGCCGCACUUUUUGGGGUGUGGUGACGGUACCUUUGUUAAGAAGCACCGGCUAACUACGUG